rnacentral:rRNA from 1 species
UACAGAGGGGGCAAGCGUUAUUCGGAAUAACUGGGCUUAAAGGGCGCGUAGGCGGGCCGCCAAGUUCGAGGUGAAAUCCUCCGGCUCAACCGGAGAACUGCCUCGAAUACUGGAGGCCUCGAGGCGGGUAGGGGCGUGCGGAACUGUGGGUGGAGCGGUGAAAUGCGUUGAUAUCCACAGGAACUCCGGUGGCGAAGGCGGCACGCUGGACCCGAUCUGACGCUGAGGCGCGAAAGCCAGGGGAGCAAACGGG